UUUAUUGGUCUCCGUUUUUGUGAAUCCUUGUAAGUAGAUCUGUCUCCAGGUCUGUGGAACUGUCAGUUGUGAAGUUUUGUAAAAUGGCCACCCAACUUAAAGCUAGGAAAUUACGAAGAAGAGAAAAUUGCACUGUAUCUGUUAAGUUUGGUGUAAAGCUACAGGGACAGGGGGGUGGCAACUUCAGCUAGAGACAUCUCUUCUGUUUUGUCAUUUUACCAGUUGUUUUCAUCUGCCCCACCCUCUGCUGCUGCUGAUUUAGUUGGGAGUCUUGGUAAGCUUUGGGGGUACAGAAUACUAAGACCUGCCUUUUCCACUUCCCACUUGAUUGUCCUGCUCUCAUGCUUAACCCUAGUCUAAUCUGAAUGAAGGACAUUCAGGGCAAUCACUGAAGAAAGAGGAAGAUGGUGGGCAAUAGGGAGGAGAAGGAAGAGUAGCCCUGAAGCAAAACAGUGCAGGAAAAGGGGACUAGGAGGGAAACAAUAGACAAAAUAUAUCUGGAAAGGCAAGAACGGGGGCCAGGGACCAAGGUCUGUCACCAGGAGAUCAGUUUCCAUAUUCUCCUGUUUGUUUAUUUGUUCAUAGGUCUGCCUGUAGAUCUGCUGUAGGGCUUGUCACCAUUGGAAGCAAGGUCCUACUUCAGUGGCAGAUCUGGUGGCCUUGGAGUGGCUGAAGACCACCACCCUCCACAGGGCUGCGCCCAUGCACAGCCAUCCUUCCCUACCUUGAGUGAGCUUCCUCUGCAUGUUUUCUAUAUCACUGGCAGAGCCUAUAGUUGGAAAGGGGACAGAGUGACUACUGGACUUUGUAUGAAAACACCAACCGGGACAGACCUUCAGUCAAGGCUGAGACAGGGUUGGGGGUAUAUAACUUGU
rnacentral:lncRNA from 1 species